GCGGUUCGCCGCCGACGACGUCGCGAGAAGUUCACUGAACCUUAUCAUUUAGAGGAAGGAGAAGUCGUAACAAGGUUUCCGUAGGUGAACCUGCGGAAGGAUCAUUG
rnacentral:rRNA from 3 species